rnacentral:ribozyme from 1 species
AGCGUCAAGGACUCUGCCCCCGCGAGCAGGAGAGGUCCUUCCUCGGCCAGGCGGGCGGUAGGCGAAGC